GAUGAACGCUGGCGGCGUGCCUAAUACAUGCAAGUCGAGCGAACAGACGAGGAGCUUGCUCCUUUGACGUUAGCGGCGGACGGGUGAGUAACACGUGGGUCACCUACCUAUAAUACUGGUAUAACUUCGGGAAAUCGGAGCUAAUCCCGGAUAAUAUUUUGAACCGCAUGGUUCGUUAGUGAAAUAUGGCUUUGCUAUCACUUAUAGAUGGACCUGCGCCGUAUUAGCUAGUUGGUAAGGUAACGGCUUACCAAGGCAACGAUACGUAGCCGACCUGAGAGGGUGAUCGGCCACACUGGAACUGAGACACGGUCCAGACUCCUACGGGAGGCAGCAGUAGGGAAUCUUCCGCAAAGGGCGAAAGCCUGACGGAGCAACGCCGCGUGAGUGAUGAAGGUCUUCGGAUCGUAAAACUCUGUUAUUAGGGAAGAACAAACGUGUAAGUAACUGUGCACGUCUUGACGGUACCUAAUCAGAAAGCCACGGCUAACUACGUG
rnacentral:rRNA from 1 species